ACUAAAACAACUCACAUAUUCCACACAAAAGACUUAUAUCAGAUGUAAAAUCCUCAUGCAACCUAACCCCUAACUAGGUUAAUAAGCAAGCAUCAAAACUUAAGGAAAUCACCAAAACUUUGACCUUUCAUCAAGAAUGCUCAAAGCUUUAAUGCUCAACACAUAACCUCUUGGAUUCAAUCACUACAACUAUGGCUUUCAGAAAUUCCACCAAUCGUAACCUCCUAAUACACUCGAUAAAUCAAUGUCUCACCUACAUUCAAGGUUCUAAUCACUACUACAAAAUUACCAUUUUACAUCUUUACAUUUACAUCGGUUCCUCUAUAAACGAUGUAAAUAAGAAACACGGUGGCAGUUUUGUAAAUAAAUUGAAGAUAUAAACCAUUCUACAUCGGGUCUAUAUCUGACCGAUGUAAAAAUAGAAUAUCUACAUCGGGUUUUGCAUUUAACCGAUGUAAAACCAAAGCCAAAUUUUUGCGGCCCUUCACCCUCUCUCGCGGGCUCUCCAUAGAACACAUAUGCUCGCUGGAGGCACCCCACUCGGGGCCGUCUCACCCAACCAAACCCCUCACACCACAUGCCGCCAAACAACCCUUCCCUCCGCCGCUGCCCCGCGGCGCCACCACCGUACGAACCUCGAUUUAGUGGAACACGAACAACAGGAGGUGCUUGGUUGCGAAUGGCGUCCACCGCAACACGUCGUCGACGGCCCCAUGAUGAGCCUAAUUAGCAAGCGCCUUCGCGCCCUCCGCAAGAAGCUGAACCAUCAACGCCAUGGAGGACUCCGUUUCCCAAGGGAAGCCGCUCAACAAGGAGCAGGAGGAGGUCCUCCACUCUAAGCCCUCCGUCCUGCCCUCAUCGACGAGCUCGAGAAGCUCCGCCAGCCUCUCGCCUCCACCCUCGCUGAGGAGCUCGAAGCCUCCACCGCGCACACCCGCCGCGGCACCGAAACCCUAGCCGAGAACUCCAGCUCCAGCGCCCGGUCGAUUCCAGCUUCUCGCACAAGAACGCACUCCAGUGCUGCGUGGAACACGCCAAGCUGUGGCUCGCCAAGUCUGAGCAGUCCAUUGGACCUGAUGCUGAUGUCACUUUUAGGCUUCUGUUGGGUUAUUUGAUGUAUUAUUCUGAUGUUUUUGUGGUUGUGUAGUGGCUCGUUUUGACUUUUCAUGGCAUGACCUUGAGUAUCACCAGUAGACUUUAGAGAAUUUGAAGAUUGCUGUCAAGAGUUCUAAGAAAUUAUUUGCUGUUAUGCUGGACACGGUGGGUGCAGGGAUGCAGGUUGUUUACAAAAGCGGGAAAGCAAUCUCACUUGAGGCAAAUGCUCAAGUUGUUCUAACUCCUGAUCAGGGACAAGAAGCCUCUUUAGAAAUAUUGCCCAUCAAUUUUGAUGGAUUGGCAAAGGCAGUGAAGAAGGGGGACAUUAUUUUUAUUGGACAAUACCUGUUCACAGGAAGUGAAACUACUUCUGUAUGGCUAGAGAAGGUUGCAGUUGCUGCUAUGGAUUGCCAAAGUCUCGACGUUGCCAAGGUGUAUUCAAAUCUGAAUGGCAACAGGUCUCGUGUGGUGAACACUGGGUGGGCAAUGCUGGCUCUCAUUGAUGCUGGACAGAUGAAGAAUGGAUAGGAGUUCCUCCUAACUGACACUGUUGGUUUUAUUCAGAAUUUACCUACUACACUAGUUGCUGCCUUCAGAGCUACACUGGAGGAGAUAGCAGAGUCAUCACUCUUGGUGCAUGUUGUUGACAUCAGGUUAUAUACAUACAAGUGAAACUGCUGUGAGGAACUUUAUUUUUAGAGAAAAGAAAGUUAGUGAAAUUAGUGGUGUUGACUUUGGAUUUCGUUAAUUAUUUUUUUGAAUUGCAAUCACCCCCUAGCUGAGCAGCAGAUAAAUGUUGUGGACAAAGUCUUGUCAGAACUAGAUGUAUCAUCAAUUCCAAGAUUGAUGGUUUGGAACAGGUAUUGAUGAACAUUUUUGUUGCUUU